GACGAACGCUGGCGGCGUGCUUAACACAUGCAAGUCGAACGGAAAGGCCCUGCUUUUGUGGGGUGCUCGAGUGGCGAACGGGUGAGUAACACGUGAGUAACCUGCCCUUGACUUUGGGAUAACUUCAGGAAACUGGGGCUAAUACCGGAUAGGAGCUCCUGCUGCAUGGUGGGGGUUGGAAAGUUUCGGCGGUUGGGGAUGGACUGGCGGCUUAUCAGCUUGUUGGUGGGGUAGUGGCUUACCAAGGCUUUGACGGGUAGCCGGCCUGAGAGGGUGACCGGCCACAUUGGGACUGAGAUACGGACCAGACUCCUACGGGAGGCAGCGGUGGGGAAUAUUGCACAAUGGGCGGAAGCCUGAUGCAGCAACGCCGCGUGCGGGAUGACGGCCUUCGGGUUGUAAACCGCUUUCGCCUGUGACGAAGCGUGAGUGACGGUAAUGGGUAAAGAAGCACCGGCUAACUACGUG
rnacentral:rRNA from 1 species